rnacentral:rRNA from 1 species
UACGUAGGGUGCGAGCGUUUGUCCGGAAUUAUUGGGCGUAAAGGGCUCGUAGGCGGUUUGUCGCGUCGGGAGUGAAAACACCGGGCUUAACUCGGUGCCUGCUUCCGAUACGGGCUGACUAGAGGUAUGCAGGGGAGAACGGAAUUCCUGGUGUAGCGGUGAAAUGCGCAGAUAUCAGGAGGAACACCGGUGGCGAAGGCGGUUCUCUGGGCAUUACCUGACGCUGAGGAGCGAAAGUGUGGGGAGCGAACAGG